rnacentral:rRNA from 1 species
UCUGACACAGGUGCUGCAUGGCUGUCGUCAGCUCGUGUCGUGAGAUGUUGGGUUAAGUCCGUAACGAGCGCAACCCUUGUCCUUAGUUACCAGCACGUUAUGGUGGGCACUCUAAGGAGACUGCCGGUGACAACCGGAGGAAGUGGGGAUGACGUCAAGUCAUCAUGGCCCUACGGCCUGGGCUACACACGUGCUACAAUGGUCGGUACAAAGGGUUGCCAAGCCGCGAGGUGGAGCUAAUCCCAUAAAACCGAUCGUAGUCCGGAUCGCAGUCUGCAACUCGACUGCGUGAAGUCGGAAUCGCUAGUAAUCGUGAAUCAGAAUGUCACGGUGAAUACGUUCCCGGGCCUU